rnacentral:lncRNA from 1 species
AGAUAUUUGAAUGGGCUGAAGCCCUAAUUUUCGUUUCAGUCUUUCACUCUCAAAAAAGGCAGCAGCAUCCCAUUUUUUGAGUCUCUCUUCUCUCACUUUGAGAGAACCAGACCAAGCCGUCAUCCUCAUGGCUCUCUCUCGUCCCUUUAUCAUGCCUACUUCCUGCCGGAGCCUCGCCGACGUCCAUGUCUACUUCUCUCUCUCCCCAUUUCUCCCUUUUUCUUUAGCCGCUGCCAUCACUGACUCCUUGCUCUGCCAUCAUCGGUAAGAUAGUCGCCGGAAAAUAUGGAAAAAUUCCAGAUCUGACUGGAUCUGGUUAAAUCAGGCCGGCUAAGAUUAAAAAGGGAGGCGAACUCAACUCCGACGACUUAUUGAGCUUAGUAUUUGGUUGUUGUUUCGGUGAUUGGUGUCGUUGAAGCAAUGCCUUUUAACAUUGAUGUCAUCCGGUUGUUCUUGUUUUUUUCACACCGCGAAAAAAUACUGAUCUGGCCGGAAGUGACUUUUUCUAUUAAAUCUCUAUGACCUACUGUUUUGUGUUAGUGUGUUACGACCUUUCCGGUGACUUUUGCUAAAACUUGCAGAACUCCGGCACCCCUGUUGUUUGUUCCAUUUUUUGGGAAAUUCUGUUUGGUUUUGUUCAUGCUAUUUCUAGGUUGACCUGUUGUUAUCAAUGCUACUGGAAUUUGCACUAAUUUUGUGACUGAUUGACUUGCUUUUGGUCCUCUUUCAGGAUUUGGGGUCAGUUCUGUUUCGUUCUGUUGCCGAUAAUUCUUAUUUUUGCUACUGUGUGGUUGUUUGAAAUGCUCACUGGCCCAUAGAUAGCUUUCUUUUCUCUAUUUAUUUGUUCCCAGC